rnacentral:rRNA from 1 species
UACGUAGGGUGCAGGCGUUAAUCGGAAUUACUGGGCGUAAAGCGUGCGUAGGCGGUUUGUUAAGACAGGUGUGAAAUCCCCGGGCUUAACCUGGGAACUGCGCUUGUUACUGGCAGACUGGAGUGUGGCAGAGGGGGGUGGAAUUCCAGGUGUAGCAGUGAAAUGCGUAGAGAUGUGGAGGAACACCGAUGGCGAAGGCAGCCCCCUGGGCCAAUACUGACGCUCAUGCACGAAAGCGUGGGGAGCAAACGGG